GAGUUUGAUCCUGGCUCAGGAUGAACACUGGCGGCGUGCUUAACACAUGCAAGUCGAACGGGGCCACCAUUUUUGAAGCGAUUAGCUUGCUAAGAGUGGAAAUAGUUGGCGGCUUAGUUGGCGGACGGGUGAGUAACGCGUGGGUAACCUGCCAUAUACAGGGGAGUAACACUUAGAAUAGGUGCUAAUACCGCAUAAGCGCACGGAGCUGCAUGGCUCAGUGUGAAAACUCCGGUGGUAUAUGAUGGACCCGCGUCUGAUUAGCUUGUUGGCGGGGUAACGGCCCACCAAGGCGACGAUCAGUAGCCGGCCUGAGAGGGUGGACGGCCACAUUUGGGACUGAGACACGGCCC
rnacentral:rRNA from 1 species